GCACCAAUUAUGCUAAUAAAUUAGCACGUUAGCACGUUAUUGUAAUAUCCCAUAGUACAUACAUGUUAUUAAAACUUGAACUAAUGCACUGUGAGUCUUAUAAAUUGCUUACAUACCUCACCAAUUUCUGCAUGUCUGGAAAACGCUCGGUUUAGUUCCUGUCUCCGCCUCCCAAAAUGUCUAGUGUAUUCGGAUUGGUCAGAUGACUACUCAACUGUUAUUGGUCAACUGGGUUCGGCGUGUGUUUGAAAGGUUACGCCCCUGACUACGCGUGGAUUUUCCGGUUCUGACUGAGAGUCACAGGCAACGUAAACAAGCGUUAUAUUUCUCUAUAAACGAUGGUGUCUGUACUGCCUUACCACUUCAAGCUCGAUCCAGAGAGUUCAGACUGCCGUUACGAUAUAAACGAUCUCCGUCAAUGAACGCGAUUGGAUUUAACUUUUUUAGGUGUCCUUAGCUCUGCCAGAAUGCUAAACGAAGACGAAAAUGUGUUGCAAAGACAUCCAAAAGGUUUUAAGGAGAAUGCAACAUGUUCCAGGGCCUCUUACCUGCGUGAUUCAUCAUCCAGGUUUUGCACAAAUUGUCUAAAUCCCUACACACAGAACAUUUAUUGUACCGACUAUAAGCCUUUGAGGUGCAGGACUAGAAUACGCUUGGAGCUUCCUGAUCAGAUCGGUCACAAUUUUGGCUUUCGACGACCCCUGCACUGAAGAUGGCAUGCAAUCACGUCCUCCUUUGAAGGUCUCUCAAACUGUGAUGCCAGGUCCAUUGGAAUCGGGGUUUCCUUCAGCUUAUCUUCAAAUACCUCAUCAAACACAAGCCUGAUCACAUCCUCCACAUAACUGUAGAAAUAUUGCAGUCAAUAAAUCUUUUGUUUUGAUCAUUUAUUUCCCUGCUUCAUACAUUAAGUUUUUAAUUAUGAAUGUAUUUGAAAUAAAACAUUACUGCUUACGGUAUGUCAUUUGUGUUUUGGGAACAUAGCCUUGUACUUUCCCUCUCCUGCUUUUGUUACGGCUUGGUGACAUUGUAAUGGAUG